CUCUCCCCACGACAGACUGCUCACCAACAAAUCCAUAUUCAUCGCUUCGACUCUAAAACCGAUGACAACGAUACCCCAACUCCGGCGACGCUCCCUCGACACAGAAAACAUGUAUAAGUGGAACGGCGGCAGAGCACUUUGUCAUCCAAUUGUUUAGGCUUAGGUGUUAUUGAAGGGAAAACAUUCAGCCCCAAUUUUGAUUUCUUCUCUAUCGUCGUCUCCAGG